rnacentral:rRNA from 1 species
CCUGCGUGAAGUUGGAAUUGCUAGUAAUCGCGGAUCAGCAUGCCGCGGUGAAUACGUUCCCGGGCCUUGUACACACCGCCCGUCACACCAUGGGAGCCGGUAAUACCCGAAGUCAGUAGCCUAACCGCAAGGGGGCGCUGCCGAAGGUAGGAUUGGCGACUGGGGUGAAGUCGUAACAAGGUAAC